AUUUGUAAUUUUGAUAUAGUUUGCUCUAAAUCAGAAAUUAAAAGCCGCAAUCUCGGUCUAUUUCAUUAUAAUAUUAAGAAAGAGUGUUGUGAUAAUAAAGACGUGGUCAAGAUGAGUGAGUUGCGAAGAUAUUUGUUUCGUAUCUCAGUGAACUCCCAGCGAGCUUUAAGGAACCGUUUGCGAAGCAAAAGAAAAUUGUUGCGGGAAUCCACGGAUCCCUUCUGUAUUUCAGAGGAACGGUUCACUGAAAUUUUUCGACUUCCAAAAGAAAUAUGUAGAAAUGUUUUUAAUGAAAUCCGCCCCUUUAUGUUGCAAAGGACAUCAAGUUGUGGAUUGUCGAAAGUUUUAAGGUUCCUUGUAGCAUUGCGAAUUUUUCGCUCAAGGAAGCUAUCAACGUUCGGUGGGACAAGACUUCUUACUUAAUAUAUCCCAAAGCAGCGUCAGUAGAUACAUUAGAGAAAUUGCCAGUAUCAUGGACAAAUACUUGUUAACUACAUACAUUAAGUUUCCAUCAACAGUUGAAGAAAAACAGGCUGUAAAGGAAAAAUUUUAUCAAGAGUUCAGAUUCCCUGGGGUCAUAGGAGCCAUUGACGGAUCGCAUAUUAAAUUAACGACUCCAUCCAAAGACAUU
rnacentral:lncRNA from 1 species